rnacentral:rRNA from 1 species
GAGUUUUGAUCCUGGCUCAGGAUGAACGCUGGCGGCGUGCUUAACACAUGCAAGUCGAGCGAAGCGGUUUAAAUGAGACUUUGGUGGAUUUUAAACUGACUGAGCGGCGGACGGGUGAGUAACGCGUGGAUAACCUGCCUCACACAGGGGGAUAACAGUUAGAAAUGACUGCUAAUACCGCAUAAGCGCACAGUACCGCAUGGUACAGUGUGAAAAACUCCGGUGGUGUGAGAUGGAUCCGCGUCUGAUUAGGUAGUUGGUGGGGUAACGGCCCACCAAGCCGACGAUCAGUAGCCGACCUGAGAGGGUGACCGGCCACAUUGGGACUGAGACACGGCCCAAACUCCUACGGGAGGCAGCA